rnacentral:lncRNA from 1 species
CUAAUCAAGCUUUAAUCAAAUUCAAAGAAACUUCAAAGGAAUUACAAAGAAAUAAUAAGAAAGCUUAAUAAAAUAUUAGAAUGAUCACAAAUAUAUCUCAAAUACAUUUUAAUUCAAUCUUAAUUUAAUCCUAGUUAAAAUCCUAUUAGACUUCAUUCAAACUUUAGGCCAAAACUAACUAAAUCUUAAAUCCUAAAUAAACUCAAAUAAAAUCUUAAAUCCUAAAUCAAACCCUAAUCAAAUUUUAAACUCUAAAUCAAAUCCUAAUCAAUCCUAAACCAAAUUCUAACUAAAUUCUAAAUCCUAAAUCAAAUCCUAACCAAAUUCUAAUCCUAAAUCAAAUCCUAACCAAAUCCUAAUCUUAAAUCAAAACUUAACCAAAUCCUAAAUCCUAAACCAAAUCCUAACCGAAUCCUAAUCCUAAAUCAAAUCCUAACCAAAUCCUAAAUUCUAAACUAAAUCCUAAUCUUAAAUCAAAUCCUAACCAAAUCCUAAUCUUAAAUCAAAUCCUAACCAAAUCCUAAUCCUAAAUCAAAUCCUAACUGAACCAUAACCUUAAAUUAAAUCCUAACCAAAUCCUAAUCCUAAAUCAAAUCCUAACCAAAUCCUAAAACCAAACCCUAAAUCCUAAAUCAAACCCUAAUAAUUCCUACAACAGAUUUACACCUCAAUUACUAAUGAAUGAACUAUUGAUCUUAACUCAAAAUUUGCAUACUUUUUAACAAUUAAGUUAAAAACAAGCAUAAUUUUUUUGAAUAGGAUCAAAAUUAUCAAAUAGACAAUAGCCUCAAAAAUGUGCUUGGAUAUUAGUUAGCCUUCUUCUCUGACCUUGAUGCUAAUCUCCUAGAACCAAUAUCUCUCUUUUUCAUCAUUCGAUUGAUCUAAAAAAUUAAAAAUACAAAGAUAAAUAAGUCUUAUAUCUUCUCACAUAAAUUUUACUCCAAUCCAAUGAGUAGAUUGCAAGAAAUCUUAAAAACCCUCAUUAGACCUA